GAUGAACGCUGGCGGCGUGCCUAAUACAUGCAAGUCGAGCGAACAGACGAGGAGCUUGCUCCUCUGACGUUAGCGGCGGACGGGUGAGUAACACGUGGAUAACCUACCUAUAAGACUGGGAUAACUUCGGGAAACCGGAGCUAAUACCGGAUAAUAUAUUGAACCGCAUGGUUCAAUAGUGAAAGACGGUUUUGCUGUCACUUAUAGAUGGAUCCGCGCCGCAUUAGCUAGUUGGUAAGGUAACGGCUUACCAAGGCAACGAUGCGUAGCCGACCUGAGAGGGUGAUCGGCCACACGGGAACUGAGACACGGUCCAGACUCCUACGGGAGGCAGCAGUAGGGAAUCUUCCGCAAUGGGCGAAAGCCUGACGGAGCAACGCCGAGUGAGUGAUGAAGGUCUUCGGAUCGUAAAACUCUGUUAUUAGGGAAGAACCAAUGUGUAAGUAACUAUGCACGUCUUGACGGUACCUAAUCAGAAAGCAACGGCUAACUACGUG
rnacentral:rRNA from 1 species